CCUUCUUUGCUUUCGGGGAUUUUGGGGCUUUCUGACGCUGCCUCUUUUUAUUAGGACCAUUUACCUUUUCAACAACACCAGCCUCUUCAACUAGCUCCAGCGGUUCAUCCUUUGUUGAAUAAGGUGGUUGAAACACUUGCAUAUGAUGAGCUGAAGAUGUUUCAGGAAAAACAGCCGCAUAAUUAUGGUUUCCAGGCAACACAUUGAUAAACUUUUCUCUCUGGCCAAUCCAAGCUCCCCUCAUAUACUCCAUAGGGUGCAUGGGCUGCGAAACACCAACAUCUUUGUGGUUAAAACCUCCAUUCAUACUUGUCAUGAUUGCGGCACUGCGCGAACCCAAAAAGGGUUUCUCAGGCAUUGUUGGGGACAUGAGCUGAAGACCCAGAUUUCCUUUAACAGGUGUUGGUUCAUAGUAACCCCAAUUACGAAUAUUCAAACUGUUAUCUUCAUCCAUUAUUUCAAACUUCGACAAUUCAAGAGAACUUAUUUAACCUUAACACAAUUUGUUGUCAGCAUUGUGUGCACCUAAGAAAAUCUCCAAAAAGAUUACAGACGCAAAAAUUAAUUCAAACCCAAAUCACAGAAACCAAAAAAUUAAUAAGCAGAUAGUCAAAUCACAGUAAAGUUUGUGCCUUGAAACUAGCAGAAGUCUCAAUUAGCAGAACUAGUAAGGCAAAAUAAAUAAUAAAAACAUAUGGGUCAUAGCCAGAAAGUAAGAUCUUCGAAUUUUUGGAUUUGUCUGAUAAAAUUUCUUUUAAAGAAAAUAGACAGCCAUUGGCGUAGUAUUUUAGGAAAUAUAAAGCAACUUACUUGAAAGAAGACGUUGAGAGCUUUUUAGGGUUCUUGUUCUCUACUGAAGAAGCACGAAAAAAGAAGUGAUGCACGCCAAUUUUUUUAUGUAUUUACUUUUUACUCAUUUUUUAAAGUGCUCCUUAUCUAGGAAUUUGAGAAUGUUGGUGCGCACUUGCUAGUGAUUUGAGAUCUUUUCGUCUCUGUUUCGUUCUGAGCUUGAAUUUAUUUUUUAUUAAAAUUUAAUUUUUUUAAAUUAAUUUGUUAAUAUUUUACAUGUUUUGAUAUAUUAUGUCAAAAAAAAUUUAAAAUUUAAAAUAUUAUUUUAAUAUACUUUCAAAUAAAAAAUACUUUGAAAGAUAAUUUUUACUACAUUCUCAAACAUCUCAAGAUAAUUAUUUAGACAUUGUUAGUGUGUUUUAAAUAAAAAAAAAUUAUGAUAUAAGUUAUAGGAGCUACUAGGUAUAGUAAAAUAAUUUAAAAAAAAACAAUAAAUGAGUGGAAUUUUUUUUUAAAAUAAAUGAUAACAAUGACAAGAAGAAAAUAAGGCUUAUUAAGUAGAUAAAAAAAUCUGAAUUUUAAAAUAAUUUAAUAUUAAGAAAUGAAAUUUAAAAAAUAACAAAAUUAAAAUGCUCAAAUCAACCAUAAUUAACAUGACAAACUCACAACUUGGAUCAUGAAGUUAGAUUAACCUUAUAAAAAGCAAAUUGAAAAAAAAUAAUGCCUAAAAAAAUAGAACACGUACGAACCCUGGUAAAGCUGUAAAAUCUCGCAAGCUGGAUCAUGCAAACAAGGUACCUAAUAGAAGACAAAACGAGGAAAAUAACGAAGCUUAAUUUUAAAAAGAUCCAAUUUUAAAGGAGAGAACCAAAAAAAAUAUAUAGAAAAAAAGGGUCUAAAAAAUAUACUCGAGUUAAUCAGUCAUAAUUGUUAUCUCGAUCAUAAGAUUGAGAUAACCUGAUUGGGAAACCGAAGAAAAUCAUAAGCCCAUUAUAAGUAACGUCAAAUGAUGAAAUUGUAAAAAAAAAAAACUAAAUGAAAAAAAAAAAAACAAUAUCAACCUGUGUUAACUUCUCAAACUUGUGAUCUAAGUCAUUAAACCAAAAUCACCCCAUCUGAAAAACCACAAAAUCCAAUUCCCAACAAAUAAAAUGUUGGACGAUGAAAUUGAAAAAAAAAUUAAUUAUACAAAAUGAUUCAAAACAAAAAAUAACAAUUAAGAGAAUGAAAAUCAAAUUUAAAAUAAAUAAAUAAAUAAGAUGACAACCUAGAAUUUGAAAUUGAAUGGAAAAAUUAAAAAAAAAUUAACAAAUAUUCAACUUUCUGUUUUUUAAAACUUUACAAACCAAUUUCAAAAACAAAUAUUCAACUUUUUUGUUUUUUUUAAAUUUUUUUAUCUCAAUUUUCAGACAUAAUCUUUUGUUGGAAUCUAUAACUCAGUUAUCAUUUAUUAACAUAAAUAAUUCUCAAUUUAUUUUACAAGUAUAAACUAUUAAUUUUCUUUUGGUUAUAAAAAUAAAAGUUAAAUCCUGCAGCGCGGGGCGUUGUUAAAUAAAUGGUACCAAAAACAGGUCCUUAAUUUUCUAGUUCUAUUUCACUCCAAAUUCAACCUCCUUACAAGCUCCAAUCCUGCCAGCAAAUGGCAGGCAGGACAACCACGGCAGGAACAAAAAACUUGCUAUCUUGUUAGACCACCAUCCACAUAAGAACUCGAACAAAAACGAGGAGAGACCUAUACAUGAUAGAACAUUACCACAAGAGUAAAAUGCAUUCAUCAAACAAAAUAAAUCAGUCACAAUCAACACCCCACAGUAGCCAUGAAAGGACUUGGAACUAUCAUGUUAUUACAACCUCUUAAGGGAAAAAGAAGCAAAACAUCCUCUAAAUUGGGUUAUCAAUAACAAGUUUCUCACCAACAAUGGGGCAAGCCUAAAGCAACUACCUCACAAAAUCAGAAACCAGGUCAUAGGUCCAUGAACCACUCAUUCAUUUACACAUGCUGCAAUAACUUCAGAAAGAAUGAGGCUGCCACAUAUACUAAAAUUAGAUUUUUAUUCCAAAUUUAUUCUAAAUCAGAUGAAAUAGAAUACGCACAAGUAAAAAAGGUAAGAAAGAAUCAAGGAAUCACUUAACAAUUAACAGUAGAAAAAUCAGUCACAAAUGAGGCAAGAAUCUAUUGAUAAAUCUCAUCUAUUACAUCAGUUUCCCUGGCAUCAAUAAGUUUAAAACAGCUUAGAGUACAAGCAGAACAAGGAUCCAUAUGGUGCAUCUACCUAAUAGUGACAAACUUGUUCGUACCGUGUUUAGCCCAGUGAGUUCUCAGAUCAAUCGGAUUAGAGAAGUCAUAGCCUUCACCAGCAAGUUUCUCUAAGACUUUCUUAAAAGCUCCUAGACUCAUUUUUCUCCCUGCUAUCCUUGCACCACGCCGUUUCGUACUCAUAGGCAAGGGAUACACAGAUAUGCAUGUCGUACAGCAUGCUGAUUGCCAUCCACCACAACCCCAACGAUAGCAUUGUUGGGGGUUUCCAGUACACGAGCAAACAGGUAUGGGAAUGACUGAAAUGUCCAUAUUGAUCCCAUUUAUCAUAAUUUCUGCGGUUUUCUUGGCAGCCCGUGCUCGUUGAGUAGGAGGACUACCCUCAGGCUUGGGUACUUGAGCGCCUCCCAUACCCUUCUUUGCUCUUGGGGAUUUCGGGCCUUUAUGACGCUGCCUCUUUUUAUUAGGAACAUUUACCUUUUCAACAACACCAGCCUCUUCAACUAGCUCCAGCGGUUCAUCCUUUGUUGAAUAAGGUGGUUGAAACAUUUCCAUAUGAUGAGAUGAAGAUGUUUCAGGCCAAACAGCUGCAUAAUCAUGGUUUCCAGGCAACACAUUGAGAAGCUUUUCUCUCUGGCCAAUCCAAGCGUCCUUCACGUA
rnacentral:lncRNA from 1 species